rnacentral:tRNA from 1 species
ACCUGGGUGGCUCAGUCGGUUGAGCGUCUGACUUCGGCUCAGGUCAUAAUCUCACAUUUUGCGGGUUCGAGCCCCGAAUCAGGCU